ACAGUCGAGUCAGUGGAAUGUUGUAUGAUAAAGGCAAUAUUGCACUUGUCCCGGCCUGGUU
rnacentral:pre_miRNA from 1 species